AUUUGAUGUUUGAUAUUCAUAGUAAAUUUAUACUCUUCUGUUUUUGUGGGACACAUCCUAUCCUGUGGAUUUCCAGAUAUCGGUUUGGUAUGGAAACAAAGCUAUAGUGUGUUAUAAAUCGACUUUGCAUCAGAUCGGUGUUCUUGAGGGACACUAUAGGGCGAUGGUCUGUCAGUUCCAUCAGGGUUAGUUAGCACACACCCCUUAAUCUCUUCUGUCUGGAGGACUUGAGUGAAACAGUGAAGACAGAGGAAGUGAGUAGGAUACACUGAAUGAGAACAGUGGCGUGUCAUGUAGCUCAAUUAUUCAACAGGAGCUUGUCUGUGAUUGUAAGGCUUAGGGAGAACUCUCCCAGAAUUUCAAUAGGGGAUGCCAUUGCCUCUGCUGAAAAACCAGCGCGUGCGUGUAUGUGCUCUGCAACUGACUGUUCCAUGGCCCCUCAUCUUCUGUCUUCUUAGCCGGAAAAGAACCAUGUAGUCUGAACAUCUUCUGAUAUGGUAAGUUGCUACAGUUUGUCAGUGUAAUGGAGGCCGAAAUGUAAGGGCUAAAGCGGCAGAAUUCAUGCUAGGAUAACGUAUUACAUAUUUUGAUAGCCACGUUUGCUCUGACUAUUCAUCCUUAGCUUCAUGACCCUACAAAAAAAAGAAAAGUUUAAUCAUAGACGAUGUACAUUAUUGGCCAUGGCCACUGAAUAUUAUUUUAAACAGAGAAAAAUAUAUUUUUUUUCACUUGGUAUCAACGAUUAAGGGGGAGGACGCGUGAUAUAGUCAACGUCGAAUUAAAAGCAACUUCAAUCAGUUUUGGAACUGUGACAUGGAGAAAAGUAUCACUGCCUUCCCUGUUUGAGCUCAGUCUGGAUCAGUCUGUCUGAUCUGGGCUUGGUACUUGUACACAGACGCAUCACACGGGAAGAAAAGGGAAAAGCAGUGGUUGGCUUUCCAAAAUGUGCAAGUGUGUUCUUCACAGAUUCAAAUACUAAUACAUGUAUAUGCAUUCUAACAGUGGAAGCACUUUAAAAAAAUUACACAGCCUUGACAUCCACAUGUCAAAUUUGCAUUAUCAAGAGAUCAGAUGAAAACAAAGGAAAAGACUGAAAUUCAAUGUACAGUAGAGCCCGCAAUGCAAUACAUUUGAAAGACUGAACUACAACGAAAUCCAAUGCAUUUGAGGAACUGAAAUGCAAUGCAUCUCUUUAAAGCCAUCGAGCCCUAGGUUAUCAAUUUGUAUACAACAUGCAAAAAUAAGGCACAAAUGCAAUGGCAUGCAUCGUGUUAUGUUUGUUACCAUAUUCAGCCAUUGACAAUUUUCAUGAUUUGAAAGAAGAGGUCAUCAACAUAAAAGGUUUCAAAUGUUUUUCAUAUGAUUAUCACUGACAGUUUCAGCAUUAGUAUGUCUUCAAUGUCAAUUGUCAGUAUAAAUGAUUUGAUUGUAGCAAUACUGGGUUACAUCAAUGACACAUAUAACAAAUAAUAUCAGAUAUGAUCAGUGUUCCCGGGAAAAUAGCACACAGUGGAUUUGUCAUUCUACUGCAGUAGUCUUAAAACGGAGGCAGAAUAAUUCAUUGCUGGAGGGCUUAAGCAUCAGGACACAGCGGUGACUCUAGGUGAAUAGGGCCCCAGGGCCCUUCUUUUUUUUUAUUACUCAAACCCAAUACAAAUCCUCCCAUUAUGUGCAACAAGAUAACAGCUGACCAGAGGCCUGUGCCAAUCAGGCUGCCCAAUCCCACCCAUUCUAUGUUCCCAAAUUGUAAUGGGAAUGGUAGGACAUUGCACAUUGGAACAGAGACUCUGGCACAGCACAGAGC
rnacentral:lncRNA from 13 species